rnacentral:rRNA from 1 species
UACGGAGGGAGCUAGUGUUGUUCGGAAUUACUGGGCGUAAAGCGCACGUAGGCGGCUAUUCAAGUCGGGGGUGAAAGCCCGGGGCUCAACCCCGGAACUGCCCUCGAAACUAGAUAGCUAGAAUCUUGGAGAGGCGAGUGGAAUUCCGAGUGUAGAGGUGAAAUUCGUAGAUAUUCGGAAGAACACCAGUGGCGAAGGCGACUCGCUGGACAAGUAUUGACGCUGAGGUGCGAAAGCGUGGGGAGCAAACAGG